rnacentral:sRNA from 1 species
AGUAUGCGGGGACACCCAUGGCCAGUUCUAUGACCUCCUCAACAUAUUCGAGCUCAACGGUUUACCCUCGGAGACCAACCCCUAUAUAUUUAAUGGUGACUUCGUGGACCGAGGCUCCUUCUCUGUAGAAGUGAUCCUCACCCUUUUCGGCUUCAAGCUCCUGUACCCAGAUCACUUUCACCUACUUCGAGGCAACCACGAGACAGACAACAUGAACCAGAUCUACGGUUUCGAGGGUGAGGUGAAGGCCAAGUACACAGCCCAGAUGUACGAGCUCUUUAGCGAGGUGUUCGAGUGGCUCCCGUUGGCCCAGUGCAUCAACGGCAAAGUGCUGAUCAUGCACGGAGGCCUGUUCAGUGAAGACGGUGUCACCCUGGACGACAUCCGGAAAAUUGAGCGGAAUCGACAACCCCCAGAUUCAGGGCCCAUGUGUGACCUGCUCUGGUCAGAUCCACAGCCGCAGAACGGGCGCUCGGUCAGCAAGCGGGGCGUGAGCUGUCAGUUUGGGCCUGACGUCACCAAGGCCUUCUUGGAAGAGAACAACCUGGACUAUAUCAUCCGCAGCCACGAAGUCAAGGCUGAGGGCUACGAGGUGGCUCACGGAGGCCGCUGUGUCACCGUCUUCUCUGCCCCCAACUACUGCGACCAGAUGGGGAACAAAGCCUCCUACAUCCACCUCCAGGGCUCCGACCUACGGCCUCAGUUCCACCAGUUCACAGCAGUGGUGAGUCACCCCUCAGGGCCCCCGCCCCUCCCAUCCCGGCCUGGGGACAAGGAGGCUGAGACCCUGGUAAGGGGCAGGGGUAGGUUCUGCUGGUGGGUGCUCAGGGGCUCUGUUCUGACUUCUGUCCAUCCCACCUGCCCUGGUCCCACAGCCU